rnacentral:rRNA from 1 species
UUGGCCUUGACAUACUAAGAACUUUCCAGAGAUGGAUUGGUGCCUUCGGGAACUUAGAUACAGGUGCUGCAUGGCUGUCGUCAGCUCGUGUCGUGAGAUGUUGGGUUAAGUCCGCAACGAGCGCAACCCUUUUCCUUAUUUGCCAGCGGGUAAUGCCGGGAACUUUAAGGAUACUGCCAGUGACAAACUGGAGGAAGGCGGGGACGACGUCAAGUCAUCAUGGCCCUUACGGCCAGGGCUACACACGUGCUACAAUGGUCGGUACAAAGGGUUGCUACCUCGCGAGAGGAUGCUAAUCUCAAAAAGCCGAUCGUAGUCCGGAUCGCAGUCUGCAACUCGACUGCGUGAAGUCGGAAUCGCUAGUAAUCGCGGAUCAGAAUGCCGCGGUCGAAUACGUUCCCGGGCCUUGUACACACCGCCCGUCACACCAUGGGAGUUUGUUGCACCAGAAGUAGGUAGUCUAACCGCAAGGAGGACGCUUACCACGGUGUGGCCGAUGACUGGGGUGAAGUCGUAACAAGGUAGGCGUAGAUGA